AUGGCUGCAGUGGGCAUCCUCACUUCUCAGGGAUACCUUUCUUCCUCUGGUUCACCACUGCCCUUUUCAGUCAUAUUCUAUUAUUUAUUUACAGAGGCAGGGUCUUGCUCUGUUGUCCAGGCUGGAGUGCAGUGGCACGAUCAUGGCUCACUGCAGCCUCCAACUCCUGGGAUCAAGUGAUCCUCCUGCCUCAGCCUCUUAAGUAGCUGAAACUACAUCAUAUUCUAUUGUUACCAUUACUUAAGUUGUGUGUGUGUGUGUGUGUGUGUGUGUUAUUUGAAGAAAACAGAGUGAAAUAUGGUAUUUACCUGGGAUUUUGUGGGGAGCAGGGCCUGGAGAUGGGUCCUGGAAAGCCAGGGUAGUUCCCUCCAGCUGCCGUAACAAAGUACCACAGAUGGGGGUGCUCAGACAGCAGGAAUUUAUCGUCUCAGUUCAGAAGCCGGUGUCAAAAAAUCAAGGUAUCCACUAUGGUAGCUUCUUCUGAGGGCUACGAGGGGAAGGUCUGCUCUAGGCCUCUCUCUUUGGCUUAUGGACAGACACCUUCUCUCUGUGUCUCUUCACACUAUCUUCCUUCUACGCCUGCUUGUGUCCAAUUUUCUGCUUUUUGAAAGGACACCAAUCUUAUUGGAUUAGGGUCUGCCUUAAUAACCUCAUUUUCACUCCAUUACCUCUGUAAAGACCCCAUUUGGAAAUGGAGCAGGAACCUCUCUUAGGGGCCUGCCAGGCACUCCUCCCCACCCCAACCAAACAUGGAAAUAAAGGAAAAUCUUGAGUUCCUUCAAGGGAAAUUCCAGGCAUCCAGCGAACCCUGAGAAGUACAUGAAUACUUGAUAAAUAAGAAGGUAACAGUAGCUUAAAACAAUAGUCAGGGAAGUCAGCACCGUGAAAUGUUUGGCUCCCUACAGAAACCAAAGAUAACAUCUUUUUAAAUGUUUUAUUUAUUUGUUUUUAUUUUUGCAGAGACAGAGUCUCACUACAUUGCCCCGGCUGGUCUCAAACUCCUCGCCUCAAGCAAUCUUCCUGUUACCGGAAAGGAGAUCCGAUCCAGACCCCAAGAAAGGGUUCUUGGAUCUCACACAAGAAUUCGAGAUGAAUCCAUUAGAGUAAAGUGAAAGCCGGUUUAUGAAGAAACUAAAGGAAUUAAAGAAUGGCUACUCCAUAGGCAGAGCAGCCCUGAGGGCUGCUGGAUGCCCAUUUUUAUGGUUAUUUCUCGAUGAUGUGUUGAAUAAGGGGUGGAUUAUUCAUGUCUCCUUUUUUUAGACCUUAUGGGGUAACUUCCUAGCGUUGCCAUGGCAUUUCUGAACCGUCACAGCACUGGUGGGAGUGUAGCAGUGAGGACGACCAGAGGUCACUGUCAUCGCCGUCUUGGUUUUGGUGGGUUUUAGCUGGCUUCUUUACUGCAACCUGUUUUGUCAGCAAGGUCUUUGCGACCUGUGUUUGGUGCUGACCUCGUAUCUCAUCCUGUGACUUAGAAUGCCUCAUCUCCUGGGAAUGCAGCCCACUAGGUCUCAGCCUCAUUUUACCCAGCCCCUAUCCAAGAUGGAGUUGCUCUGGUUCAAAUGCCUCUGACACUUUCACAUCGGCCUCCCAGAGUGUUGAGUUUACAGGCGUGAGCUACCAUGUUUGAUCUAAAGAUAACAUCUUAACAUAUGUCCCUGAGUUGUUUUUCAGAAACCCAGACCCCCACCAAACAGAUCCACUGGCCUGUAGACCUCAGAAAAGGGGGAGCUGAGGACUGAACUCGGACCAGCAAUUCUUUGUUCUAAAGUUCUCCCUGAGGGGCCCAGAGGAAGUCGUACCCGUGAGUCAACCCUAACGUAGCUUUCUGCUGACCCCAGCAUAUGUAGACAAAGCUUUGCCUCCUUAACCAAUUGCAAAUCAGAAAAUAUUUGAAUCAAACUGUGGCCCCUGCUUUGAGAUGUUCCACCUUUUUAGGCCAAAGCAACGUACAAUCUUCACGUAUUAGCCUCCAAUUUUGCCUGUGACUUCCGCUUACCUGAAAUUUCCCCCUGCCUAUGAAAACCCUUACUUGCUAGCCAUGGGAGAGUUCAGGUCUUAAGUGUUGCUUGGCACACUGCAAUCAAUGCCUCACUUCAUUUCACCAGGAUCCCAAUGCCACUGCUUGACCUUGCUGGACCAGGUGAGCAGACCCCACUUGGGUCAGUAAAAAUCUCCAAGUCAAGUCACACUUUGAGGAGUCGGGGAGUUAGGACUUCAGCAUAUGAAUUUGGGGGUGGGGGAAGACACAGUUCACCCCAGCAGCACUGCCUAUCUGGAAAAUGCGGGCGUCUGAUAAGCUGAGUUCUCCAUCAAGGAGCGCAGGGAGAGACUUGAGAGCCGUGGCUGUCCCCGCCCUGGCCCCUGCCCGCCACCCCGUUCCUUUUCACUGCAGUGUGCCAGCAAAGUGACUGAAGCUUUCCAAGGACCCAAUUACCAGCUUCUCCUCAGUGGCCCUGCCCGAGUCCUAAGGUUCAACACAACAUUUUAAUUACUUUUUAAAUGCACCCUAAUCACGAUGACACUUGAGCAGAGAGCCUGAUGGAACUGACUUUUCCUGCAGAGGCUGUUCUCUGUGAAACAGACUGCUCUCAGCGAAGGCGGAGAGGCCAAAGCACAGGCAUUUCACGUGAAAUGAGGGCAGGAAAGCCUCACCUCCUGAGUGGGCAGUAGCACUUUUUGGAUUCCCCCUGGUUUAAAGGGUGGCAGGGCUGUGGGAUGCGGCCCAGUGAUGCUGCAAACAGAUGGGUCCGGUUUGGUGUGUUCUCGGUUGGUGCACAGAGCAGGCCAGGGUGACUGACCCAAGUCCCUGCAGCAUCCUCUAAGGCAGAGUGAUUUGUCAAAAAUUUAGAGCUGAUGGAAAAAUUAACUGUAUCUCAUUUACUGGCCUACGGCCUCACAAAUGGGAAAGAAAGGAGAUCAUUCCCCUCCUUCAAUUCUGGAGUAUCCCUAGGAAGAGUUAUAGGACAUUAUCAUCAUCAUCAUCAUCAUCAUCAUCAUCACACUGGCUUAAAACAACAGACAUGUCUCAUAGAUGUGCAGUCUAGAAGUCUGGAUUCAAGGUGCUGGCGGGCCCUGCUUCCUCUGAAAUCUGAAGGGGAAUCUGUCCUUGUGUCUUCCCGGCCCCCGUGGCUUGCUGGCCACCUUUGACGCUCCUUAGCUUGCCGGUGUACCUCUCCAUCCUCCAUCUUCACAUGGUGCUCUUCUGUGUCUCUGUCCUCACCUGGCUGCCUUUUUAUAAGAAUGACCCAGAACAUGAUUUUAAAAUGUCUGGGUUGGGCAUGGCAUAAUCCCAGUGCUUUGAGGGCCAAGAUGCGAGGAUUGCUUGAGACCAGGAGUUCGAGACCAGCCUGGGCAACAUAGUGAGACCCUGUCUCUACAAAAAAAAAAAAAAAAA
rnacentral:lncRNA from 1 species